rnacentral:lncRNA from 7 species
GAGCGCCCUCGCCGUUCGGACCGAGAUAGGAGAGAGAGAGAGAUUUCCGCCGUCGUCGUAGCUUCUCGUCCACGCCAUCGGUCGAACCAUAACCUGUGGCUUAGAAGGUUCGCCUGAACCCAUAGAAGGUCAUGCGCAACCUGCCCAUGUGCGUGAUUGAUUGUGGCGACCGCAAUUUCUCACCGGUGAAGAGUCCCAGUGACCGGUCGCUUUGUUAUGUAGGCGACUUCGGCAUUGUCUUCAUCCUCGAUAAGAAUCCCACUACAUUGUUUGCACUAUUUUCCUCUACAUCUGGAACCAUUCGGGUCGGCGAUUUAGCGUCGUGUCGUCAGCGGGCUGUACUUCGGCGGAAGCACCACCGAGUGGCAGGGCGGCGCCGCUGCCGUGGGUGCUUGUUGGGGAAGAUGGGUUUGUGGCCUUCCAUCUUGAAAUGAGCAACUAGGAUUAUUAAUAAGAAAAUAAUUUGCAUCAAUUGUGCAUAACCGUUGGAUCUUCAGUGUGCGGAGGGGAUUAGACUGUGUAUAUUGUAAAUCUCGGGCGUGGAUCUCGGAUCCAAUGGCCCAUAUUUCGUACCAGCUGGUUAAAGUAAUGAUCUGAUCGGCGCCGUUGGUGGCCGAUCGGGCGACUGUUAUGGGUCCAUACCCCUUCAGCCAUGUUCUUUUUCUAAAAGAGCCCCUGUUCUUAUUUAUAAUCAACCUGCCAUCCUUAACAGUUAGAAAGUAAUUACAUCAGAGUCCUUAUAUUUACGAAUCGAACCCCGAGCUUUAUCGAAUUCCUGCGCGCGAUCCAGGGAUGAAAUAAAUAAAUUAAACUAAUAUAGAA